CAGCGCCGCGGGAAUACAGAGGGUGCGAGCGUUAAUCGGAUUUACUGGGCGUAAAGCGUGCGUAGGUGGUUUGUUAAGUUGGAUGUGAAAUCCCCGGGCUCAACCUGGGAACUGCAUCCAAAACUGGCAAGCUAGAGUAUGGUAGAGGGUGGUGGAAUUUCCUGUGUAGCGGUGAAAUGCGUAGAUAUAGGAAGGAACACCAGUGGCGAAGGCGACCACCUGGACUGAUACUGACACUGAGGUGCGAAAGCGUGGGGAGCAAACAGGAUUAGAUACCCCGGUAGUCCCUGUCUCUUAUACA
rnacentral:rRNA from 1 species